rnacentral:rRNA from 1 species
GACAGAGGGUGCAAACGUUGUUCGGAAUUACUGGGCGUAAAGCGCGUGUAGGCGGUCUCGCAAGUCGGAUGUGAGAGCCCAGGGCUCAACCCUGGAAGUGCACUCGAUACUGCGAGGCUAGAGUCCCGGAGAGGAUGGUGGAACUCUCGGUGUAGAGGUGAAAUUCGUAGAUAUCGAGAAGAACACCGGUGGCGAAGGCGGCCAUCUGGACGGUGACUGACGCUGAGACGCGAAAGCGUGGGGAGCAAACAGG